UGAGGAAUAUUGGUCAAUGGGCGGAAGCCUGAACCAGCCAUGCCGCGUGCAGGACGACGGCCCUACGGGUUGUAAACUGCUUUUCCGGGGGAAGAAUAAGGCCCAUGCGUGGGCCGAUGCCGGUACCCCGGGAAUAAGGAUCGGCUAACUCCGUGCCAGCAGCCGCGGUAAUACGGAGGAUCCUAGCGUUAUCCGGAUUUACUGGGUUUAAAGGGUGCGUAGGCGGGCCCCUCAGUCAGCGGUGAAAGUCUGCGGCUCAACCGUAGGAUUGCCGUUGAUACUGGGGGUCUUGAAUUCGGUCAAGGUGGGCGGAAUGCGUGGUGUAGCGGUGAAAUGCUUAGAUAUCACGCAGAACGCCGAUAGCGAAGGCAGCUCACCGGGCCGACAUUGACGCUGAGGCACGAAAGCGUGGGGAUCAAACA
rnacentral:rRNA from 1 species